UACGAAGGGGGCUAGCGUUGCUCGGAAUCACUGGGCGUAAAGCGCACGUAGGCGGCUCUUUAAGUCAGGGGUGAAAUCCCAAGGCUCAACCUUGGAACUGCCUUUGAUACUGGGGAUCUCGAGUCCGGAAGAGGUUGGUGGAACUGCGAGUGUAGAGGUGAAAUUCGUAGAUAUUCGCAAGAACACCAGUGGCGAAGGCGGCCAACUGGUCCGGUACUGACGCUGAGGUGCGAAAGCGUGGGGAGCGAACAGG
rnacentral:rRNA from 1 species